rnacentral:rRNA from 1 species
AUCAAUAAGCGGAGGAAAAGAAACCCAACUGGGAUUGCCUUAGUAACGGCGAGUGAAGCGGCAAUAGCUCAAAUUUGAAAGCUGGCCCCUUUGGGGUCCGCGUUGUAAUUUGUAGAGGAUGAUUCGGCGAGGGCUCCCGUCUAAGUCCCCUGGAACGGGGCGUCAUAGAGGGUGAGAAUCCCGUAUGUGAUGGGUUGCCUUAGCCAUGUGAAUCUCCUUCGACGAGUCGAGUUGUUUGGGAAUGCAGCUCUAAAUGGGAGGUAAAUUUCUUCUAAAGCUAAAUACCGGCCAGAGACCGAUAGCGCACAAGUAGAGUGAUCGAAAGAUGAAAAGCACUUUGGAAAGAGAGUUAAAAAGUACGUGAAAUUGUUGAAAGGGAAGCGCUUGCAGCCAGACUUGUCCGCAGUUGCUCAGCCGGUCUCCUGACCGGCGUACUCUUCUGCGGCCAGGCCAGCAUCAGUUCGGGCGGUCGGAUAAAGACCUCGGGAAUGUAGCUCCUCUCGGGGAGUGUUAUAGCCCGGGGUGGAAUGCGGCCAGCCUGGACUGAGGAUCUCGCUUCGGCUAGGAUGCUGGCGUAAUGGCUGUAAGCGGCCCGUCUUGAAACACGGACCAAGGAGUCUAACAUCUAUGCGAGUGUUUGGGUGUCAAACCCAUACGCGUAAUGAAAGUGAACGGAGGUGGGAACCCUCACGGGUGCACCAUCGACCGAUCCUGAUGUCUUCGGAUGGAUUUGAGUAUGAGCAUAGCUGUUGGGACCCGAAAGAUGGUGAACUAUGCCUGAAUAGGGUGAAGCCAGAGGAAACUCUGGUGGAGGCUCGCAGCGGUUCUGACGUGCAAAUCGAUCGUCAAAUUUGGGUAUAGGGGCGAAAGACUAAUCGAAACC